rnacentral:rRNA from 1 species
AUAUUGGACAAUGGGCGCAAGCCUGAUCCAGCCAUGCCGCGUGUGUGAAGAAGGCCUUCGGGUUGUAAAGCACUUUUGUUGGGGAAGAAAAGCUUUCGGUUAAUACCCGGAAGUCCUGACGGUACCGGAAGAAUAAGCACCGGCUAACUUCGUGCCAGCAGCCGCGGUAAUACGAAGGGUGCAAGCGUUACUCGGAAUUACUGGGCGUAAAGCGUGCGUAGGUGGUUUGUUAAGUCUGAUGUGAAAGCCCUGGGCUCAACCUGGGAAUUGCACUGGAUACUGGCAGGCUAGAGUGCGGUAGAGGAUGGCGGAAUUCCCGGUGUAGCAGUGAAAUGCGUAGAGAUCGGGAGGAACAUCUGUGGCGAAGGCGGCCAUCUGGACCAGCACUGACACUGAGGCACGAAAGCGUGGGGAGCAAACAGG